rnacentral:rRNA from 1 species
GGGCCCGCACAAGCGGUGGAGCAUGUGGUUUAAUUCGAUGAUACGCGAGGAACCUUACCAGGGCUUAAAUGUAGUGGGACAGGUCUAGAGAUAGACCCUUCUUCGGACCACUUACAAGGUGCUGCAUGGUUGUCGUCAGCUCGUGCCGUGAGGUGUCAGGUUAAGUCCUAUAACGAGCGCAACCCCUGUUGUUAGUUGCCAUCGAGUCAUGUCGGGAACUCUAACAAGACUGCCGGUGCAAACCGUGAGGAAGGUGGGGAUGACGUCAAAUCAUCACGGCCCUUACGUCCUGGGCCUACACACGUGCUACAAUGGCCGGUACAGAGAGCAGCCACUACGCGAGUAGGAGCGAAAUCUUCAAAGCCGGUCUCAGUUCGGAUCGCAGUCUGCAACUCGACUGCGUGAAGCUGGAAUC